GGGCCUAUGGUAUAGAGGUAACACGGCUCCAUGGCAUGGAGCAGUCCCGGGUUCGAUUCCCGGUAGGUCCA
rnacentral:tRNA from 1 species